UUGAACGCUGGCGGCAUGCCUUACACAUGCCAGUCGAACGGUAACAGGUCUUCGGAUGCUGACGAGUGGCGAACGGGUGAGUAAUACAUCGGAACGUGCCCAGACGUGGGGGAUAACGAGGCGAAAGCUUUGCUAAUACCGCAUACGAUCUAAGGAUGAAAGCAGGGGACCGCAAGGCCUUGCGCGUUUGGAGCGGCCGAUGGCAGAUUAGGUAGUUGGUGGGAUAAAAGCUUACCAAGCCGACGAUCUGUAGCUGGUCUGAGAGGACGACCAGCCACAGGGGGAGGGAGAGGGGGCGCAGGGGCGGGCGGGAGGGGGCGGUGGGGAAGGGUGGACAAUGGGGGAGAGCCUGGGCGAGGAAUGCGGCGUGCGGGAGGAAGGCCGUCGGGUUGGAAGCGGGUUUUGUACGGAACGAAAAGGGUCUGGCUAAGACCUGGGGGACAUGACGGUACCGGAAGAAUAAGCACCGGCUAACUACGUG
rnacentral:rRNA from 1 species